UACGUAGGGUGCAAGCGUUGUCCGGAAUUAUUGGGCGUAAAGAGCGUGUAGGCGGCCCGACCAGUCCGCUGUGAAAGUCCAGGGCUCAACCCCGGGCCUGCAGCCGAUACGGGCAAACUAGAAUUCGGUAGGGGAGACUGGAAUUCCUGGUGUAGCGGUGAAAUGCGCAGAUAUCAGGAGGAACACCGGUGGCGAAGGCGGGUCUCUGGGCCGAUAUUGACGCUGAGACGCGAAAGCGUGGGGAGCGAACCGG
rnacentral:rRNA from 1 species